rnacentral:rRNA from 1 species
CCUACGGGUGGCAGCAGUGGGGAAUAUUGGACAAUGGGCGAAAGCCUGAUCCAGCCAUGCCGCGUGUGUGAAGAAGGCCUUCGGGUUGUAAAGCACUUUCAGUGGGGAAGAAAGCCUUGGGGCUAAUACCCUCGAGGAAGGACAUCACCCACAGAAGAAGCACCGGCUAACUCCGUGCCAGCAGCCGCGGUAAUACGGAGGGUGCGAGCGUUAAUCGGAAUUACUGGGCGUAAAGCGCGCGUAGGCGGUCUGAUAAGCCGGUUGUGAAAGCCCCGGGCUCAACCUGGGAACGGCAUCCGGAACUGUCAGGCUAGAGUGCAGGAGAGGACGGUAGAAUUCCCGGUGUAGCGGUGAAAUGCGUAGAGAUCGGGAGGAAUACCAGUGGCGAAGGCGGCCUUCUGGACUGACACUGACGCUGAGGUGCGAAAGCGUGGGUAGCAAACAGGAUUAGAUACCCGUGUAGUC